AUUGAACGCUGGCGGCAGGCCUAACACAUGCAAGUCGAGCGGAUGAAGGGAGCUUGCUCCUGGAUUCAGCGGCGGACGGGUGAGUAAUGGCUAGGAAUCUGCCUGGUAGUGGGGGAUAACGUCCGGAAACGGGCGCUAAUACCGCAUACGUCCUGAGGGAGAAAGUGGGGGAUCUUCGGACCUCACGCUAUCAGAUGAGCCUAGGUCGGAUUAGCUAGUUGGUGGGGUAAAGGCCUACCAAGGCGACGAUCCGUAACUGGUCUGAGAGGAUGAUCAGUCACACUGGAACUGAGACACGGUCCAGACUCCUACGGGAGGCAGCAGUGGGGAAUAUUGGACAAUGGGCGAAAGCCUGAUCCAGCCAUGCCGCGUGUGUGAAGAAGGUCUUCGGAUUGUAAAGCACUUUAAGUUGGGAGGAAGAGCAGUAAGUUAAUACCUUGCUGUUUUGACGUUACCAACAGAAUAAGCACCGGCUAACUUCGUG
rnacentral:rRNA from 1 species